rnacentral:rRNA from 1 species
UACGGAGGGGACUAGCGUUGUUCGGAAUUACUGGGCGUAAAGCGCACGUAGGCGGAUUUGUAAGUCAGGGGUGAAAUCCCGGGGCUCAACCCCGGAACUGCCUUUGAUACUGCGAAUCUCGAGUCCGGAAGAGGUGAGUGGAAUUCCUAGUGUAGAGGUGAAAAUUCGUAGAUAUUAGGAAGAACACCAGUGGCGAAGGCGGCUCACUGGUCCGGUACUGACGCUGAGGUGCGAAAAGCGUGGGGGAGCAAACAGG